UCUGUUAAAAAUAUAUAUUUCCAGGUCUAAUCUUUUUUUUUUUUUUUUUUGCUAUUCAAAUGAAAUAAUCUUUUAGUCACAGGAUUUGAAAUUAAUUCUUUCUUGAUCAGUAUUGCUGCUUCAUCUGAGAAGUUUUUUAUUUUAUUUUAUUUUAUUUUUUAUUUACAGCAAGAACCUUGUAUCCCAUUUCUUCUGGAUUUUCCAGUGUUGAAAUGUUCAUUCCUCUAGACAGCAGCAUCUGCUAAUAAAGGCACUGUAAUAAAAGUAGCAGGAAUAUUCAGACCUGCUAGUAAAUGCUACUCAAAUAGCAGAUAAUAACAUGAGAGUGUGGAACAUAGAGUAAGUGUUUUCUCUAUAACAUGGAAACAUAUUUACUUUUUCUGUUCUAGUCACUUUAGAAGCUCCAGCAGCCAGCAGGGGGCGACAGCAGCACACAGUGAGAGUGGCCAUGUUGGAAAAAUCGAUUACCCAGAAUCCUUCAGGCUCAUCCUGGAUUGGCUGCACCUGCCGUUUAGGAUACUUAAGACCUGUUUUGGACUCUCUCUUAUUUUACACCUUUGUAGGAUUCUGCCUGAGGUUAGAGAAACGUGAAAAAAAAGGAAGAUAUGAAUGAUAAAAACAGAUAUGCAAAUCCAAAUGUCAGGGCGGGACAUCACUCUAUUUAUGUGAUGUGUUGGAUGAACUUUGUUAAACAUUUGAGAACAGAGAAGACCCCAGUAAAAACAUCACACACCAUGUUCUCUACAUCUCUACUGCUCCUGCUGGCAGCUGCUUCCUAUGUGCAUGGUGAGGAACUGACUUAGCCUGCUUCCAUGACAGUCCAGCCAGGCCAGAGUCUCUCCAUCAACUGCAAGGUUUCAUAUUCAGUUACGAGCUAUAACACACAUUGGAUUCGACAACUUGCAGGAAAAACUCUGGAGUGGAUUGGAAUCAUUCAUACUAGUGGGAGCACAGACUACAGUGACAAAUUGAAAAAUAAGUUCAGCAUUUUCAGAGACACGUCUACUAACACAAUAACAAUUCGAGGACAGAACAUGCAGACUGAAGACACAGCUGUGUAUUACUGCGCUCGAGACUCACAGUGAUACACAUCACCAACAUCCCUGUACAAAAACUUGCAGAAACGCAACUUUUUUCUGUAUGGUGUGUGUUGUCGUGUUUCUUCAUGAACAUUGGUCAGAGUCCUACAUGAACAGUGCUCAUCAUGUUUUAAAUCUCUGUUUGGUUGUUUUAUUUUACAGUAAAAUCUUAAUAAAUUGUGUGAACUUUAUCCAAGCACAUACAGUAGCAGUCCUGCACAAGUGUGAACUCCCAACAUGCUCCUUAAUUUAAGUGCAAUAUUCAUUCUGCAGUUCAGGAGCAUUAUAAACAUUUAAGAAGUCCAUAUUUGCUUCCUUUUUACCUGAUUUCUUCUUCACCUGAACAGAUGUUUGACAGAAUAAAGAGUUUAUUGUUAUGUGUAACUUGUUCAUUUUUAAACUUGGAUUAUUCUGAAAACUUAGAUUCAUUUAAUUUGAACUGUAAAUCAAACAGUUUAGUCCACAUGUGAACACAUUAUGAAACGAUAGGAGGCACUGUUGUACUUUGUUGCUCCAUACCAUAUCAUUUCUGCUUUUCACUUUUGAAGUCAUAUUAAACACCUUCAGGUACAGUAUUACUCCUCUCUGUUAUCAUAUUCCUUAAUAAAAGAACAGAACAAAGUGAAGAGAUUUCUAUAAACUCUUGUACAUGUGUUUUACCUCAUAAUGCCUUUAUUCCUGUCAAAAUCACUUGU